GAACCUAUCAGGCAUUGCUUCUCCAUGACAAGUCCAUGCUGCCAAACAGCCUUCACUCUUGCCGGCUAGAAUAUUAUGACAUUACAAAAACUGAUGAAAAGCACAUAUCUUGGAUGUAUUAUUCACCAUCAGGAAGAAUUGGAAGUUUCAAUUUUUGCAAAAGUAUUCUCGCUGUCGAGCCCAGGUUUGAUAAAGCAAAAACUCCCUAUAAAAUGAUGAAUAACAUAUAUUAGGAAUACAAUUUACUAUCACACUUAUAUCUUUUAACUGUUAUAUUUUAUGCCAGAAUUAAAGAUUGUACUUUGAUUUGAAAUCACAAAAAGUUCUGACCGGGUAAGAUCAUGUAAGUUGGAACCUUCACAUUUCUUACAAUGCCACAACAAAAUUCUGUAUGGUUAAUAAGUAAAUAAUAAAAAUUAAGACAAUUAUCUGGUCAAGCUAAAAAACCAA